rnacentral:lncRNA from 1 species
CCAGAGUCCAGCUACUUGCUUCAGACCACAGUGACAGGUCAUGUGCUUCUCAUUUCAAUACUUAAGUUAUAGCUUAUAGUUCUAAAUCAACUACUUCCUGCCAUUUCAAAGUUUCAAAGCAGAAACCCAGCAAGUACAGGAUCAUGUUUGUUCAGUGAGGCAGCCUGGUUUCUCUCAGCCAUGGGUCCACAUCCUCAUGUUCCCCACCCCCGACGCUGGGCCAGUGUCGCCAAGAGGCAGGAGUAGCUGCUAGAGCCAUUGCUCACAGUGCAGGCACGGCUCCUAUGUAAUCAUGUUCUAUGUAACAGCAAUUCACGAGGCACUCUCCAGACCCACACAAGACUAAGGUCCCCAAAUUUCAAGACAUAAGUGACUAAUAUACCACAGGUACAUCAACUUGUUAAGAGACCAAAACCCGGCUUCUCUUUAGCAAUAAUCACACUGUUAAUCUAUAGCUUUUAUUUUUCAAAAUUUGAGAGUAAGUGGAGAUUCUCGGUAUGUUUUCUGUUGACCUUGGCGUCACCUUCCCCUCCCCCACAGUCACUGUUAACCGCUCAGGUGAAGAGGAUACCAAGGCUCCACCUCAGCAGUGUAAACUUCCAUCACCUCUCUCCUGCUCUGCCCACACGUGGCCCUCGCUCAUGGCCGUUGUCUUUUUGAAGCCCAGAUCUUGUUGACACCCAUGAGGCACAGGGACACUUCUAAGGAGACAGGAGGAGGGGGCUGCAGAACACAGGUGUGUACACUCAGGUCCCAAAGUCUAAGGACAUCUGCGGUCAUUAUUUGCUGGCAGUGAUUUUGAUCAGGAUGAGGAGAAAAGAAGAAACAUUUUGGGGUGAUACAGGCUUUUUAUCAGUGGGGUAAAAAAAACUGGGUGGAUGAAACUGGGACAAACAGACCCAUUUUGAAAGGUCUGGAUUUUGUAGGUCUGACUACACAGCAGUGUUAAAACUCCAUUUCUCAUAUCAUUCGCUCUCUAGAAAAUAGAGAAAAGUAUUUCUAGUGUGGUCAAGUUAAUAAACCAAUAUUGUAGAAAAUAACUUCAUUUGUUCACAAUGUGCGUAUUUAUAAGGUAGUUAGGUACCAUUUGUAAGGUAAGUCCUUUAACAUUCUAUGAUAUUAAAGUAGUGGUUAUUGGCCUGAUAAACGCUGCUGUUGGUUCUAAAAACCAGACAAGAAGCAGUGCUUUGUGAAAUGCAGUGUUAACCCUUACCGCCACUGGUGAUAGGAAGUAGUUCCCUUCAGUUCAAAUCUCUGCCCUUCUUUGCUGCUUGCUAAUGUAAGCAAUAAGUAACCCUCUAACUAAUGGUAUCUAUACAUUUCUGUAACUUAUAUUUAAUGAUGGUGUAUCUGGUGACUGUACAAACAUUAGAUAUAAAAGUAUCUAUACAAUAUAUAUUACUGUAAAUGCUGAGGUAUAGUCUGUGAAUUCUGUGUUUUGUACCUCCACUUCAUCGUGCAGUUUAGUGGUGGUGAGAGCUCUACACUCGGUCCUUAAGGAGUGGCAGCAUCACCUUUUCAAUUAACACGAUCUGCAUCAACCUGUUUGCUUGCUAUAACAGUUUUGUUAAAGUAGGAAAUAGCAAAACAAAUAUAAACAAGAAAGUGUAGUAUCUGAUAGGAAAGUAGACUUCAAGUCACCAACCGAGGUUACUACUCCUUGUACAUUCACUGUGAGUCUCAAAGGGCAUCAGUCCCUAAUUUCAAAGGUUUUUUUUUUUCUUCAUUUUUUUAGACAUGUAUAUUGGGAAGAUAACUGAGAAUGGCAACAUUACAGCACCAAAUAUUGGGGCUAUUAGUUCUAUUUAUGUCUGUACAACAGAGGUCAGACAGAAAAACAUGUAUAUACCUUUCUUUACCUAUAAGUGCCAUCCAUUGUCCUUGAAGUAAUACAAUUAAAGUCCAUGUUGUAUUAAUUUAACAGAAGGCGCCUUGAAAGUAACAUCAUUUCAGAGGACAAUGUUAGUAGUCAACGCUAAGUUAGUCCUGACCACAUUCACAGUGGUACAGCAGCGUCAUUUCAUUUCCAUGACCACCACACUCCACUGCUAGAACACUGUGCAGUAAGACGUGCACCAUCCGCAGGGCAGAUGGAAUGAUGCAUGAUGCAGCUCAGUGUUGCGGACAAGUAAAUUGCUGUGCUUCAACUACGUCUUCCCCAUCAAAGGUUUCCUGAGGUUUUGUGAGAACAGGUCUAAAUGAUUUUAAUUUUUAAACUUAAUUUGUUCAAUGAGCCUUUUCACCUAAGGCUACAAAAGAGGAUACUACAGUUUUGUUCAAACCUUUGUUUGGAGAAAUUUUCUUUGGAUCCUAAGUUACUAAAAGAUUUGUUUUUACCUUUUAUAACCAGGACGAAAACCAAAACCCCAACACUCUUCUAUUUUUAUCUAUGAAAGAUGGUCGUUUCUACAAAACAAAUGAUACUGUCAGUAUUAUAACAUCCAGCCAAAGUGUACUGACUGAAGGAAACCCCUGCUGUUGCAUCCCCAGCAGCAUUUUAACUGUUCAGAACUAUUGAUUAUACUGAUUAGAAAUUGAAGGAGGGCAGGGGAUUGCACACUGGCGCAGCAGUCACUCUUGAAAAGAAAGUGCUUUAAAACUCUGACGUCUGAGAUAAUGCAGAUACAUCAUUGUAAUCUCUCUAGGUGCUCUUUGGUGAGAGACAAGCUUUCUCUUGUUCAUGACAUUUCUCUGCAAAGAACUCUCUGGAGUGAAGUGAGUGGCGUAACGAUUUACAAACCCACUCUACAGAUCACUUUUGAGUUGAGUUGUAAUCAUAAGUGAUCCUUCAUACUUUACUUAUUAAAAAUGUUUAUUCAGGUAAGGAGUAUGUUGAAAUUUUGCCAAUAUCUUAAUAAAACUCAGCAAUUAAAAACC